GCCAUGUAUCAAAAAAGCUUCAGCUUUGGGUUGUUGAUUUAGCAGCAUCAAUCAUUAAUUGUUCUGCUAUAUAUGUUCUUAACCAUGACAACCUGAUUAGGCUCUUAGUUUAUUAUGGUCUUUGUUCUGGGUGGAUCUCUGACUAUUCUGGGUGGGAAUGAAUCUCUUCUUUGUUUCUUCAUCUCCUCUUAUUCUGAUUCCUGCGUUUGUUUUAUGUGAAGGUUUCUCCGAUGAGGACAAGCUGCUUCUGCAGUUGGACGGGCCCUCAAGGCUGCUCUGCCUAUUCCUCCUGCUACCCCCACACGUGCGAACACAAAGCCGUCGAUGCAUUGAGGGCUCAAUGUCGUCUCCGUCGGCUGAGCGGCAAGCCGGGGUUGGGCCUGCACACCGUCUAUUAGCACCCUCCCGCGUCUCCAUUCACGGAUCUGCAGAAUAUAGGUUUUAUGGUAACAAGUCUUAGCCAACACCUAUACUGAUGCUCAGACCAGAUGAUUAUAGUCUCUCCUUGCUAUUUUUCUUGAGCUCUGAGGAAGGAGGGGAGGAAUAAUCUCGCGGGAGAGUUCGGUGCAGAGGAAGAAGAACAAGAUAUUAUUUAUUUCUUGUGAACAGUCAAGCUUGUGCAUUGUCCCACUUUCUGGGGCCAGGCAACCUUGAAUCCAACGUCCACCUGCAGGCUACAUCUCAGGGGAAAUUGCAAAGCAUAUUAUGAAUUGUUACAAGAAACUAUUUCCGCUGUUUUGGUGCAAGGAUGUUGCUUUUUAGUAUGCUUCCCGUAUCUUGGUAUCUUGGAAUAAUAAACAGAUAGAUGUCGUGUACCAAGAUUGUUCCUUGUUGUUAAGAGGGAUACAAAUAUUAUACAAGAAUUUUUCUGAUGACUCCUAAAGCAUAUUUGGAUAUACAGCAAAGUAUAUUGUCGCUUCCCUGUUAGUAAAACAAUUAUGUUAGAAAUUUGGUUGGCAGCCCCUACAUUUGGCUGAUUGCUAGCUGACUGGAUUACUCAUGUUUGCCGACUCUGGUAACUUACGCCUACCAAGAACUACAUGAAUUUUGUGUCUUGCUGCAGUGAACAUUACCAAACUAAUUCUAAAGGUGUUAUAAUCAUGUUUUCUUUUGCAUUAUCAACUUUUAACUUUUGUCAUUUGUUAACACAUUCCUUUUGCAUUAUCAACUUUUA